rnacentral:rRNA from 1 species
CGGAGAGUUUGAUCCUGGCUCAGAUUGAACGCUGGCGGCAGGCCUAACACAUGCAAGUCGAGCGGUAGAGAGAAGCUUGCUUCUCUUGAGAGCGGCGGACGGGUGAGUAAUGCCUAGGAAUCUGCCUGGUAGUGGGGGAUAACGUUCGGAAACGGACGCUAAUACCGCAUACGUCCUACGGGAGAAAGCAGGGGACCUUCGGGCCUUGCGCUAUCAGAUGAGCCUAGGUCGGAUUAGCUAGUUGGUGAGGUAAUGGCUCACCAAGGCGACGAUCCGUAACUGGUCUGAGAGGAUGAUCAGUCACACUGGAACUGAGACACGGUCCAGACUCCUACGGGAGGCAGCAGUGGGGAAUAUUGGACAAUGGGCGAAAGCCUGAUCCAGCCAUGCCGCGUGUGUGAAGAAGGUCUUCGGAUUGUAAAGCACUUUAAGUUGGGAGGAAGGGUUGUAGAUUAAUACUCUGCAAUUUUGACGUUACCGACAGAAUAAGCACCGGCUAACUCUGUGCCAGCAGCCGCGGUAAUACAGAGGGUGCAAGCGUUAAUCGGAAUUACUGGGCGUAAAGCGCGCGUAGGUGGUUUGUUAAGUUGGAUGUGAAAUCCCCGGGCUCAACCUGGGAACUGCAUUCAAAACUGACUGACUAGAGUAUGGUAGAGGGUGGUGGAAUUUCCUGUGUAGCGGUGAAAUGCGUAGAUAUAGGAAGGA